rnacentral:snRNA from 1 species
AUCCCUUCUCGGCCUUUUGGCUAAGAUCAAGUGUUGUAACUUGUUUUUAAACAUUCACAUUUGGGGCCAGGAAUCACAUUCACAUUUGGUACCAAGAAUGGAACUCAGGACCUCGUGCUGACCAGGCAAGUGCUGCCCCACUGAGUUCCAUCCCC